rnacentral:snoRNA from 1 species
GGAUGAAAGUGAUGAAUAGUGAUUAAACGGUGAUGGUGAAUUCCAUCUGAUCUGCAAAUCUUUCACUUCGCUACGUUCUUUCUGAUUCGUCC